rnacentral:rRNA from 1 species
UGCCCAAGCAUUGAGGCAGUCAAAGUAGGCAAAUCCGCUUUGAGAAUGCUGGGAUGUGAUGGGGAGCGAAAUUUAGUAGCGAAGUAGCUGAUUUCAUACUGUCAAGAAAAGUCUCUAUCGAGGUUAAAGGUACCCGUACCGCAAACCGACACAGGUGGGUGAGGAGAGUAUCCUAAGGCCAGCGAGAGAACUGUUGUUAAGGCACUCGGCAAAAUGACCCCGUAACGUAGGGAUAAGGGGUGCCACCAUCAGGUGGCCGCAGAGAAUAGGCACCAGCGACUGUUUACCAAAACCAUAGGUUUCUGCUAAGUCGCAAGACGCUGUAUCGGGGCGGUCGCCUGCCCGGGGCUGGAAGGUUAAGGGGAUCGGUUAGAGCAAUCGAAGCAGUGCACUUAAGC